rnacentral:lncRNA from 1 species
UUCUCCCUGCCGAACGUAGGAACAAGAAAAGACGUGAAACUGCAGCUGUGCUGGCUGUCUUGUCAUCACAAGCGUUUCCUGGCUACAUCUUGCCAUCGUACUCUGGCGUCUAGUUACAAUGAGGAACCCCCGUCUGAGCCCAAGGGAGCCCAGCUUCGCUCUCUCAACAUCUCUUCCACCACUUCCCGGGGGCUAAGUGGAAAUUCACUCCAGACAGCAGUUCUGCCCCAUCAGGGCACAGCUCGCGUCUGGGCCAGAACUUCAUCUCUUCAUUGCAGAAAGUUAAGGAAAUCGUUGCUCAGCCAGGGAGCAAAGAUUGGCUCUGCAGCUGCUCUUUUAUGGAGCUGUUAACGCAGAGACACCAUUACUUAAAUGUAAUUUUUAGUAUUACAAUUAAAGACUGAUUUGAUUUUAUGAGAUCAUGCAUUUUUAUUUUAUGGACGUUUUUGUAGUUAAAUUCAAUUUAAAAGAUU